GCCCCUGUGGCUCAGCUGGAUAGAGCGCAUCGCUUCGGACGAUGAGGUCGGGAGUUCGAAUCUCUCCAGGGGCG
rnacentral:tRNA from 1 species